UACGGGGGGGGCAAGCGUUGUUCGGAAUUACUGGGCGUAAAGGGCGCGUAGGCGGUUGGAUAAGUCAGCUGUGAAAACCACGGGCUUAACUCGUGGCCUGCAGUUGAGACUGUCUGGCUUGAGUGUGGGAGAGGAGAGUGGAAUUCCUGGUGUAGCGGUGAAAUGCGCAGAUAUCCGAAGGAACACCGGUGGCGAAGGCGACAUCCUGGACCGGUAUUGACGCGUGAGGCGCGGAAAGCCAGGGGAGCAAACGGG
rnacentral:rRNA from 1 species